rnacentral:rRNA from 1 species
AUUGAACGCUGGCGGCAUGCCUUACACAUGCAAGUCGAACGGUAACGCGGGGCAACCUGGCGACGAGUGGCGAACGGGUGAGUAAUGCAUCGGAACGUGCCCAGUAGUGGGGGAUAGCCCGGCGAAAGCCGGAUUAAUACCGCAUACGACCUAAGGGUGAAAGCGGGGGAUCGCAAGACCUCGCGCUAUUGGAGCGGCCGAUGUCAGAUUAGGUAGUUGGUGGGGUAAAGGCCCACCAAGCCUACGAUCUGUAGCUGGUCUGAGAGGACGACCAGCCACACUGGGACUGAGACACGGCCCAGACUCCUACGGGAGGCAGCAGUGGGGAAUUUUGGACAAUGGGCGAAAGCCUGAUCCAGCCAUGCCGCGUGCGGGAAGAAGGCCUUCGGGUUGUAAACCGCUUUUGUCAGGGAAGAAAUCUUUCGGGCUAAUACUCCGAAGGGAUGACGGUACCUGAAGAAUAAGCACCGGCUAACUACGUGCCAGCCGCCGCUGUAAAAC